rnacentral:rRNA from 1 species
GACGAACGCUGGCGGCGUGCAUAAUACAUGCAAGUCGAGCGCAGGAAACUGACGGAACUCUUCGGAGGGAAGGCAGUGGAAUGAGCGGCGGACGGGUGAGUAACACGUAAGGAACCUGCCUCAAGGAUUGGGAUAACUCCGAGAAAUCGGAGCUAAUACCGGAUAGUUCAACGGACCGCAUGGUCCGCUGAUGAAAGGCCCUUCGGCCUCACCUUGAGAUGGCCUUGCGGUGCAUUAGCUAGUUGGUGGGGUAACGGCCCACCAAGGCGACGAUGCAUAGCCGACCUGAGAGGGUGAUCGGCCACACUGGGACUGAGACACGGCCCAGACUCCUACGGGAGGCAGCAGUAGGGAAUCUUCCACAAUGGACGAAAGUCUGAUGGAGCAACGCCGCGUGAGUGAUGAAGGUUUUCGGAUCGUAAAACUCUGUUGUAAGGGAAGAACACGUACGAGAGGGAAUGCUCGUACCUUGACGGUACCUUACGAGAAAGCCACGGCUAACUACGUGCCAGCAGCCGCGGUAA